rnacentral:rRNA from 1 species
UACAGAGGGGGCCAGCGUUAUUCGGAAUUAUUGGGCGUAAAGGGCGCGUAGGCGGCUUUGCGUGUCUUUCGUGAAAUCCCUCGGCUCAACUGAGGACGUGCGGAAGAAACUGCAGGGCUGGAGUCCGGGAGAGGAGGGUGGAAUUCCCAGUGUAGCGGUGAAAUGCGUAGAUAUUGGGAGGAACACCGGUGGCGAAGGCGGCAUUCUGGACCGACAUUGACGCUGAGGAGCGAAAGCCAGGGGAGCAAACGGG